rnacentral:rRNA from 1 species
CUACAGGGGUAUCUAAUCCUGUUUGCUCCCCACGCUUUCGCGCCUCAGUGUCAGUAAUGGUCCAGAAAGCCGCCUUCGCCACUGGUGUUCCUUCCGAUAUCUACGCAUUUCACCGCUACACCGGAAAUUCCACUUUCCUCUACCAUACUCUAGAUACCCAGUAUUGAGUGCAGUUCCCAGGUUAAGCCCGGGGCUUUCACACCCAACUUAAGUAUCCACCUACGCGCGCUUUACGCCCAGUAAUUCCGAUUAACGCUUGCACUCUCUGUAUUACCGCGGCUGCUGGCAC